rnacentral:rRNA from 1 species
UACGAAGGGGACUAGCGUUGUUCGGAAUUACUGGGCGUAAAGCGCACGUAGGCGGAUUUGUAAGUCAGGGGUGAAAUCCCGGGGCUCAACCUCGGAACUGCCUUUGAUACUGCAAAUCUCGAGUCCGAUAGAGGUGGGUGGGAAUUCCUAGUGUAGAGGUGAAAUUCGUAGAUAUUAGGAAGAACACCGGUGGCGAAGGCGGCCCACUGGAUCGGUACUGACGCUGAGGUGCGAAAGCGUGGGGGAGCAAACAGG